AUGACCAAAAAUAAACAAAAAAUUGACAAAUGCCCGAUGGCUGUUGCUUGAUUAUCUUGGUUACAGCUGAAUGUAAGACACACCAGAGCCAAU